UAAAAAAGAAAAGAAAAGAUUUGUUGUAUUCUGCAUACUUCGUGUGGGAAGAACAUUCAUUUUGAAACAAGAGCCGAUGAAAAAACUGCAUCUAUGUUGCUCGCUUUCGCAUUGUGGCUGAAGGGAGGAACAGAAAACUGUUUUUUGUUUGUGACCUAACCAAGUACCACACCGACUGUAUUCGCUGAUAUCAUUGAGUUUAUAUACCGCUACAUCACAACACAAUUUGUCCCUUUGGAGACAUCUGAUAAAAUUGAAAUGAUACAGAGAAGAUUAGUAUGGCCCCUGCGCAAGGAUGACACGCACAAAUUGAGAAAUGGUCCAAAUUUGAGGCAUAAUUUGAGCAUGAUGGGAAGAAGGAUGACAUAAUUUGAGCUCUUCUGGUUUUUAUGUUACCACAUGCACUUGUGCAUUCUCUCCAAGUAACCUGAAUCGGCAAAAAGUUUAAGGUAGAACUAGCGGAUGAAUAUGUGCAUAUCAGCAUAGUUUGAGAAGAAAACUCUCAAAGUUAUUGAUUGGACACCGCGGUCCAUUGGGUGUGAUGACUCAAUCAUUGGGCCCAAUUAACACACUUGCAGCUUCUAGAAGCUGUUAUAAAGGGAGAGAAUAAAAGUUAGUUAGUUCCUUCCUGAAUUUCAGGGGGAUUCUAUUAGAAAUUCUGUUAUAAGAAUGAGGGAGGGUAGAGGGAAAGAUUCAUUCAGAAUCACUUCAAGAAAACUGUUAGGAGAAAAUUUGUCUAGAUUAGGAGCAGCUAUCCUCUAGUUUAGGAGUUCUUAGAACUCUGAUUUAGUUUCUUUUACUGCAUUUCCUAGAAUUUCAUCACUGUAAUAACUUGGCUCAUCAAAUUCCAGCAUUAAUAAACACAUUUCUUUCAUUGAAAUUAUGUUUUCUUGCCUUAG